AGUGAACGCUGGCGGUAGGCCUAACACAUGCAAGUCGAACGGCAGCACAGUAAGAGCUUGCUCUUACGGGUGGCGAGUGGCGGACGGGUGAGGAAUACAUCGGUAUCUACUUUUUCGUGGGGGAUAACGUAGGGAAACUUACGCUAAUACCGCAUACGACCUACGGGUGAAAGCAGGGGAUCUUCGGACCUUGCGCGAUUGAAUGAGCCGAUGUCGGAUUAGCUAGUUGGCGGGGUAAAGGCCCACCAAGGCGACGAUCCGUAGCUGGUCUGAGAGGGUGAUCAGCCACACUGGAACUGAGACACGGUCCAGACUCCUACGGGAGGCAGCAGUGGGGAAUAUUGGACAAUGGGCGCAAGCCUGAUCCAGCCAUACCGCGUGGGUGAAGAAGGCCUUCGGGUUGUAAAGCCCUUUUGUUGGGAAAGAAAAGCAGCAGGUUAAUACCCCGCUGUUCUGACGGUACCCAAAGAAUAAGCACCGGCUAACUUCGUG
rnacentral:rRNA from 1 species